CAUUUAUAACCCAUAUUUAGAACAUGCUGGCAAGCUGCUUCUGAGGGAUUCUGGAUUCGAAACAUAAAGUUCCUGAAGGCCCAAAUUAGGAUACUGUAUAGUUUGAGCCAGUUUCUGGUGAAAAUCAAAUGGCUCUAAAUUUAAUAACGAGCAGCAUGAAUUUAUGAUACAGUGAAUUUUAAAGGAGUAGCCACACUGCACAGAUCAGCAUAAGGGUGAACGGGGUAUGCCUCUGAUGAAAACAGCCCACACACUUAACAGAGCAAAUAAUGCUCAUUCUUAGUGUACCAAACAAUUUUCUCAGCCUGAGCCAAGGUCUCAAAUGAAAAACACAUUCAAUUUGGAAACAAUUUUUAUAGUUGCAAUAUUCUCCUCUCUUACUAAUUAUUAAGUACCCACCAAAUAGCACUUUUCUUUGAGACUAGGAGGGUCUUUGUUCAGUUCCUAUUGCUGUCCCCUAGGAAGCUGAAUAUGGACACCCCACAGACACCCACAAAGCUCAGGUGAUGUGCCCAGCAGGUAAAAGACCUGGUUUUACACUCUAACCUAAGGUAGACCAGCCUCAGUGGAAGGCUAAACACACUCUGAUUUCUAGAAGGCAACCCAGGGAAGUCAAAUUUCCAAGAAAUUACAUCAGUCUGUGCAACAAAAUUAAAAGAGUGCACUCAAAACUUUGUUCAUGAGUAAGAAAGCAUGAUUUAGAGUUUAAGUUUUCAUAAAUGUAGAGAAAUCCAGAUGUGAAGUUGAGCUUAAAGAGAUGUCAACAAUAAAUUUAAAAUGCUUUAUGUGUUCUUUCUCCACUGUCAAAUGGGACAUAUUUUUCUAGGGUCCCCUCCUCGGCCCACCACCACCAUUUUUCAGAGGAAAAAAUAAAUCAUGGCCAGCGCUGGUUACAGGUAAGUAACUACUGACAACCAAACCACAGCAAUAGCCUCCUAACAUGUCUCUUGCCCUGAUACUGUCUUCGUGACACUUACAUUCCAGGGAUCUUUGGGCUCUAUCUGUGCUUAGUAUACACUCACACUCCUUUCCCUACCUUUCAGGGCUCUGAACAGUUGGGCCCCACACUGGCCACCCUUCCAGUGCACGAGAGCCUACAAAGGCCUUUUCCUAGACUUCAACACACCAGGCUGGCGCCAGCUGUCCCUUCUGCCUGGAAAGCCUCUCCCCUCAUCUUUCCCAGGACUGCACCUUUCUUGACAUUAGAAUCUCCAUUUAAAGUCUGCAUUUCUCACUGAGACCUUCCCUGACCACCCAAUCUAAGGUAGCUGUGUGAUCACGCUUUCUCAUAAAGCCCUAUUUAGUUCUCUACAUGGCACUUAUCUCUGGCUGAUAUUUCUCUUGAACAUUGAAAUUUUUGCUUCUUGUCUUCUUCCUCAAAUGGAAUGUAAGUUCUCUAAGAACAGAGAUUUUGUCUGAGGUGACCACUGAGAUAUCCCCAGUGCCUGGAAACGUCCCCAGCAUAUAGUAGGCCCACAGAUACAUAUUGGACAUGUGACUAUGGGAAAUAGCAAGGCUGCAUUAAUCAGGCUUAGUUAGAGAUAAGUCACUCUUAGACCCAAUCAGUUUGAAUUGCUAUACUCUACUAGAGCUAGUUUGGUUAAAACAUAAUUCAAAUUUUUCAUUUGUUCAUUGUAAAAUUUAACAUUAACUGUAUAAUUAUUAGAGAAGUGCUACUAAAGUCUGAAAUGUAUCCCAACAACUAUAAGAGGUUUUCAUUCACACAUGACUAUGAUCUUGAAUAUAUGAGAGCAACAUAUGUCACUGGGCUUGAGUUUCAUCACUGCCUAAAUUACUCUCUGGGAAUAAAUUCAGCAGAUUAAUUCUUAAGCACAUUAUUGGGGCAGUAUAUCCAAUGCUACCCUGAUCAUCUAAAAAGGUUUUAUCUGAGUUAUUUGGUAAAGGGAUUAACUUGGAUAUUGGGGGAAACUCAACCAUUAACUACCAUCUAAAUAAAUGCCAUUGUAGGUCUAGAAAAAGCAAUUUGUUAAGCACAGGUUCUGUCCAUUUUUGGUUCGAGUCUUGAAGUGAAGUUUCUAUUUUUCCAGGACCAAUUGCACAUGGAGGUUUCCAGGCUAGGGGUCCAAUAAGAGCUACAGCUGCCGGCUUAUGCCACAGCUACAGCAACUCAGGAUCUGAGAUGCAUCUGCGACCUACAUCACAGCUCACAGAAACACCGGAUCCCUAACCCACUGAGCAAGGCUAGGGAUUGAACCUGCAUCCUCAUGGAUACUAGUUGGGUUCGUUACCACUGAGCCACAACGGGAACUCUAGAAAUGAACUGUUUUUUGACAAGUAUACAUUAGGAGCUGUUAGUACUUUUUUAUUUUAUUUUAUUUUAUUUUAGGAUGUACCUCCAGCAUAUGGAAGUUCCCAGGUUAGGGGUCAAAUUGGAGGUACAGCUGCUGGCCUAUGCUGCAGCCACAGCAACACCAGAUCAGAGCUGCAUCUGUGACCUAUGCCACAGCUUGCAGCAAUACCAGAUCCUUAACCCACUGAGCAAGGCGAGGGAUAGAACUGCAUCCUCAUGUAUACUAGUUGGGCUGUUACCAUUGAGUCACAGUGGGAAACCGCCCCCCCCCCCAAAUAUUAGUACUUUUAAAAGAGAAUAGAAAAACCAACAGUGGUGAUCCAAGAGAUAAAAUUCAAAUCAAUAUCUCUUCAUUUCAAUACGUUAUCACCCUCCCCAUUAACAACUGGGAAUCACCAAUUUUAUGAUAAUAUAUGGGAGAGAAAGAAGGUGCUGUAAGCUACACUGCCUAAAUCAGCAUCUUCUCAAAAAAUAUGGAAUAGGAAAGACGAAAAGUGCUGCCCUCUUUAUCUGUCAACUGAUUUCUAAGACCUCCGGCUAUUUAUAUAAAUUUACUCUUUAAGACUUGGCCAAACAUCCUUGAGAGACUGAAAUAGGAACAUAAGCUCCGAAGACCCAAGAAAAGAAAGAAAUAUUAUGAUUUUUGUUCAUGUCCUAAGGCAUACCAAUAUCCAUAAAAACCAAUGGCAUCUCUUCUCAUAUUUAUUUACCUACUAACGCCAGCCAUUAAGUUCCAAAACUUUAUAAUCCUGAGGCCAGUGGGAGAAAAACAGCACUUAUAGGGGGGGAAAAAACCUUGGAUAAAUUCAGAAGUAUUAUUUUAAAUAAUGCUUUUGCUUUUGCAGAUUUCUACCUCAGUAAUUCUUGCUGUCAGGGCUUAAAAGGGCCUUCCAGUCACUAUUCAAAACCCUCCAUACAAUGCUGCACACAGCUGACCUAGUCUUUAUUCUGUAUAAAGCUAAAGCACUCUGUGGGCAUUUCUUAAAGCACUCCAAAAGCAAGUCAUUAGUAAGAAUGUAAACAGAAAUAUGCCACAUCGUAAUUACCACAAAUAUGAACACUCUCAAUGUGAGAGAGAUUUUUAAAAAUAUCUCAAAAUUACUGUUUUUUAAACUGUGAAUGUUCCUUUUUGUUUUGGUUUGGUUUGGUUUAGGGCUUAUUUGGUUAUCAAAUAACACCAUUUUUAGGUUCAUUAUAGUUCAGUGCAGUUAGAUUCACCCUAGGGUUUUUGUUUUUCCUUUUCGCUUUCUCUCUCAGUUAGACUCUGAAAAACACCUCUUCUGUUAACUAGAUCUCUGGGGAAUAUAUCCUUCCAUAACUGGCCUGCAUGGGAGGGCAGGUUUUCUAAUUUUAUAGCCAAUACAGAAUAUUUGUGGGUGGGACAUGUUCGUUGAGUUCAUCUGUUCAUCUGGACCAGCUCCCACCCUGACUGCAGAAUUCCAUUGAUAGUACCUGUGCCAUUUGGAUGUCAAUUCAUUGCUAUAACCCAAAGGACUUUCCUCAGUGACAUAAUGAGAAACCAAGUGGAAACUGUUAUUGCUACAUGAAACACAGAUGAUGGCCACCCAAAACUCUGGAACCAAACUUUUCGUUCCUCAAGAACUAAUUCUCUGAUUUCUUUCUAUUACCCUCAAGGACUCUCUCUCAUCCCCAAAGUAACCAAGAAGGAUCCCACAACAUAGAAAGAAGAUUAAGAAAGGAACAUGAAUUAGAGAACACAGCCUAGCGGACACCUUGAUUACAAUCUUGUGAGUCUCUGAACAGAGAAACCAAGCAAAGCUGUGCCCAGAAUCCUGACCCAUGGAAACCGUGAGAUAAGAAGUGUGUGUUGUUUGAAGCUGCCAAGUUUGUGGUAAUCACUUAUGCAGAAUUAGAAAAGUGAUUCAGUGAGAGAAGAAAUGAGACAAGUCCCUCUCUGCCCACCCCCCGCAAAGGAAUCAGGGUCAUUCUAAGCCUGGAUACAGAGCUCUUUGCUCACUCCCCUCCUCUGCAGAUAAUCCCUGGAAGAAAUACUGAGAGUCAGACAGAGCCAGCUGAGCGCCGUGUCAACUUUUCCAAAGGAUGCCUAUUAGCUUCUUAGAUGUUCUGGGUCCUACAAGGGAAAGCUUAUUAACCAGAGGAGCCUCUUAAGCAGACAAUGAAAAAUAAUGGGCAUAGUGACAUGUUCGAAAAUCUUAUUAUACUAUACAGGGAACUUCUAAGUAGCUUUACUUAAAAUUCCUGGAAAUGCAAAACAAUAAGACACAACCAAUUUGUCUUCAUCUGCUCAUGUUUUUGCAAAUAAGUCUCCAUUAAAUCUCUAUACCUGUGAGUGCAUAUCUUAGUUCUGGAAUAAAGAUGAAUUAUAAAAGAAAGAAUGCCUAAUGUGGCCUUCUGCUUUGAAGGUGUUUUUACAGAGCUAUAAAACUUCUUGUGUUAACUCCUAAUUACAUAUCUUUAGACUUUCGAAAAUUUCUUCAUAGCUUUUUUUACAGGACGACAACUUUGAAAAUUAAUCACAUAAGGUUGUUUACAUGAAACUAUACAAAAGGAAUCUUUAAAAUAUGUUGCCCCUAUAAUAAGUGGAGCAUAAAUGCAAAAAUCACAGCUAAAGUCUGAAUUGAAACCAAUUAUAAGCCUUAAAAAUGUCCAUUAUAUGUUCAGGAUUCUAUCAGAAUUCCUCUCUUUCACUUAUUUAAUAUCAGUGCCAAGGAUCUGGUUAAUGUAAAGGUUAUAUUUGGAAUAUGUAGUUCUUAGUUGAAUUUUUACUAUACAUUUUAAUUAGACAGCUAAUGUUAACAUUAGCCCAAUUGCUGAUAUUAAUCAUGAUACAUUAACCUCUGAUU
rnacentral:lncRNA from 1 species